AUGACCUGCAUCAGAAAAAUCUUAGGAAGUGUCCUGUAUUUAUAUUUCAACAAGCCUAAGAAAAGUGUCACAUCUCAAAAUUCUAAAGGCUUGAAAUAGGUAUACUCUUGUUCCUUAGGCCUCUCCCCUCCCUGCCUCUUGUGACUCUAGAGACAUUUUGUAAAGCACAGAUUUGACUGCAGAAGUACUCUGCACACUGAAGCUCUUACAGCCCAAGAUUUUGGUGGAAGAUGUAAAAAUAAAGUUGUGGAGUCCUAGCUUUUGGUAGCUGCCCUUGGGUUUUUAGCAGUUAAGAAAGGCAAACCCGAAACAUGCUCUGUGGUCAGAACAUGCUUUGUGGCCAAAACAUGGCCUGAAGAUGACAAACAACGAUUACCUUCUACUAAAGCUGCCCAUACUCCCAAACUUUACCACUUGACCUGCUGCAUACUUGCCACUAGAUGGCACUGCUUUCAGUGCUCAACUGCAGAGGUUCUGGUUUCCGAUGCCCCGCCACAGGCUGGUUGGGGUGGGUUCAGAGUCUUUGAAUUUAAGACUUGGAUGUGACUCCUGGUAGUUAUACCUCCUUAAUCUCUGUAUUUCACCUUCUUUUGGAAAUUGGAAAAUCUGGAAACCUUUAAAAACUAGUUUCCCUUUGAUAACUUACGGGGUGGUGUGGAUCUGGUCUGGAAAUUUGAGGCCAUCCUCACAGAUGCAUGUUUGGGGAUUAAUGGAAAUGUGUCAGUGUGCCAUACGUAUAAGGAUCCUGCACAGAGCAUUACAUCGCCUUAAUCAUGAGAGCACAUGGGGGACCACACUCAAGCAUAUAUUUACCAUGUUUCCAGGCUGGACAUUAGGUAGUUUCUCAUCUGUAUAAAUGUUUAGGACAGUGCCUCCUUUCCUCUCCUUUCUUUCCUCCCUGUUCCUACUGGCUGUUCAAUCUUGGUCUGUAAACUUGCUCAUCCCCAGGCUUGCUUCUCUCUUUAAGACACUGGCCCCACCCUCGUCCAUUUUCUUUCACCUUUGACUAAACUGGCAUUUCCUUCCUCCACCUCCUCAUCACUCAGUUUAUUCUUCAGCCCUUAGAAGCUGCGUAUUAUAACCCCCCUGAAACCUCCACAUGUCCUAAUUGGUAAAUGGCAACUUUUCUUGGUUAUAAACCUGUUAAACAUUUGACAACACCUUGAAAUACACACUUCCUUUGACUUUUUCUUCCCUAAGAACUAAGUUUUCUACCUCUGACCAUCAUUUUUUUCUGGGGUUUCUCUACCUCCUCUUGUUUUUAGAUAGCGUUUCCCUAAGUCCUGAUCUUGUCCUCCUUGUCUUCUAGCUCUGCACUCUGCUUGCACGAUCUCACCCAUUUUGGUUUGUGUAGAUGCUCCCUAAACUUUGGUCACUUGCAUCCCACCAUCACCCCCCCCCCUCGCCCCCACGUCCCCAAUCACUAUAUGUGAUGUGUGUGUUCCAGCUGCACUAUUACGUGAUUUCCAAAGGCUCUGCUUAAUAUGUCUAUUUUUAAAAGUAAAGGGGGGGGGCACCUGGGUGGCUCAGUCGGUUAAGUGUCCAACUUCGGC